rnacentral:rRNA from 1 species
AGUCGAACGCGGGGUAGCAAUACCUCGAGUGGCGCACGGGUGCUAACGCGUAACCAACCUACCUACAACUGGGGGAUAGCCGCCGAAGACGUUAAUACCGCAUAUACCAGCAGCCUGGCAUCAGGUAAUUGGGAAAGAUUUAUUGGUUGUAGAUGGGGUUGCGUGCCAUUAGCUAGUUGGCGGGGUAACGGCCCACCAAGGCGACGAUGGCUAGGGGACCUGAGAGGGUGAUCCCCCACACUGGCAUUGAGAUACGGGCCAGACUCCUACGGGAGGCAGCAGUAGGGAAUAUUGGGCAAUGGGCGAGACGUGACCCAGCCAUGCCGCGUGCCGGAUGAAGGCCUUCUGGGUUGUAAACGGCUUUUCUCAGGGAAGAAAAAGAGGAUGCGUCCUAAACUGACGGUACCUGAGGAAUAAGCACCGGCUAACUCCGUGCCAGCAGCCGCGGUAAUACGGAGGGUGCAAGCGUUGUCCGGAUUUAUUGGGUUUAAAGGGUGCGUAGGUGGCCCGUUAAGUCCGGGGUGAAAGCCACUGCUCAACAGUGGAACUGCCCUGGAUACUGACGGGCUUGAGUCCAGACGAGGUUGGCGGAAUGGAUGGUGUAGCGGUGAAAUGCAUAGAUACCAUCCAGAACCCCGAUUGCGUAGGCAGCUGACUAGGCUGGUACUGACACUGAGGCACGAAAGCGUGGGGAGCGAACAGGAUUAGAUACCCUGGUAGUCCACGCCGUAAACGAUGGAUACUCGUUGCAGGCGAUACACAGUCUGUGACUUAGCGAACGUUAAGUAUCCCACCUGGGGAGUACGCUCGCAAGCGUGAAACUCAAAGGAA